rnacentral:rRNA from 1 species
CCUCAGAUCAGGUAGGAGUACCCGCUGAACUUAAGCAUAUCAAUAAGCGGAAAAGAAACCAACAGGGAUUGCCCCAGUAGCGGCGAGUGAAGCGGCAAGAGCUCAGAUUUGAAAUCGUGCCAAUUUUUUUGGCACGAGUUGUAGAGUGUAGGCGGGAGUCUUUGUGGAGCACGGUGUCCAAGUCCCUUGGAACAGGGCGCCUGAGAGGGUGAGAGCCCCGUGGGGUGCCGUGCGAAGCUUUGAGGCCCUGCUGACGAGUCGAGUUGUUUGGGAAUGCAGCUCCAAGUGGGUGGUAAAUUCCAUCUAAGGCUAAAUACUGGCGAGAGACCGAUAGCGAACAAGUACUGUGAAGGAAAGAUGAAAAGCACUUUGAAAAGAGAGUGAAACAGCACGUGAAAUUGUUGAAAGGGAAGGGUAUUGGGCCCGACAUGGGGAGUGCGCACCGCUGUCUCUUGUAGGCGGCGCUCUGGGCGCUCUCUGGGCCAGCAUCGGUUCUUGCUGCGGGAGAAUGGGUGCCGGAAAGUGGCUCUUCGGAGUGUUAUAGCCGGCGCCAGAUACCGCGUGCGGGGACCGAGGACUGCGGCUUCUGUCUCGGAUGCUGGCACAACGGCGCAAAUACCGC